GAUGAAGAACGUAGCAAAAUGCGAUAAGUAAUGUGAAUUGCAGAAUUCAGUGAAUCAUCGAAUCUUUGAACGCACAUUGCGCCCCUUGGUAUUCCGAGGGGCAUGCCUGUUCGAGCGUCAUUAUAACCCCUCAAGCUCAGCUUGGUGUUGGGGCCUGCCGCACGGGCAGCCCUUAAAAUCAGUGGCGGUGCUAUCUGGCUCUAAGCGUAGUAAUUCUUCUCGCUAUAGAGUCCCGGUGGAUGCUUGCCAUUAACCCCCAAUUUUCUAUGGUUGACCUCGGAUCAGGUAGGGAUACCCGCUGAACUUAAGCAUAUCAAUAAGCGGAGGA
rnacentral:misc_RNA from 1 species